AGCAUGGCAGAGCUCUUCGAUCCGUCGGUUCAUCUCUUGGAACCUUUGAUCCAGGAGAUCCUCUCGAUCGCGAGUCUCGAGGAUCUUCUGGCAAAAUGGAGGUAGAGACCCUCUGGGGGUAGAAUCGUGAUCAGACAGAGGGCUCUCCGCCUUUUGCUUCCCUUUUUCGAGGAAUACAGGGCGACUGACCCAAGUGGGCUGU
rnacentral:lncRNA from 1 species